AUUGAACGCUGGCGGCAUGCUUUACACAUGCAAGUCGAACGGUAACAGGUUAAGCUGACGAGUGGCGAACGGGUGAGUAAUGCAUCGGAACGUGCCCGGUCGUGGGGGACAACGCAGCGAAAGCUGCGCUAAUACCGCAUACGAUCUGAGGAUGAAAGCGGGGGACCGGAAGGCCUCGCGCGAUCGGAGCGGCCGAUGUCAGAUUAGGUAGUUGGUGGGGUAAAGGCUCACCAAGCCGACGAUCUGUAGCUGGUCUGAGAGGACGACCAGCCACACUGGGACUGAGACACGGCCCAGACUCCUACGGGAGGCAGCAGUGGGGAAUUUUGGACAAUGGGCGCAAGCCUGAUCCAGCAAUGCCGCGUGCAGGAAGAAGGCCUUCGGGUUGUAAACUGCUUUUGUACGGAGCGAAAAAGCUCUCUCUAAUACAGGGGGCUCAUGACGGUACCGUAAGAAUAAGCACCGGCUAACUACGUGCCAGCAGCCGCAGUAACAC
rnacentral:rRNA from 1 species